AUUGAACGCUGGCGGCAGGCCUAACACAUGCAAGUCGAACGAGUGGCGGACGGGCGAGUAAUGUCUGGGAAACUGUCUGAUGGAGGGGGAUAACUACUGGAAACGGUAGCUAAUACCGCAUACCACCAUAUGUGCCCUGAUGGGUUUAGCUUGUGGGUGGGGUAACGGCUGACCAAGGCGAAGAUCCCUAGCUGGUCGGGGAGGAUGAACAGCCACACUGGAACUGAGACACGGUCCAGACUCCUACGGGAGGCAGCAGUGGGGAAUAUUGCACAAUGGGCGCAAGCCUGAUGCAGCCAUGCCGCGUGUAUGAAGAAGGCCUUCGGGUUGUAAAGUACUUUCAGCGGGGAGGCGUUACCCGCAGAAGAAGCACCGGCUAACUCCGUGCCAGCAGCCGCGGUAAUUC
rnacentral:rRNA from 1 species